rnacentral:sRNA from 1 species
AGUUAGGUAGACUCAGGGGUGCCCUAAAACUCCAGAAAUUCAAAAUCCCAGUCUUCACUUGGAUUUAAACUAUUUAAGCCCUUUAGCACAACUUAUUCUAUUAUUCUACAUAUAGUUGAGGGUCUUGACAUUUGAAUCAUAACUUGGCUGCCUUUAAGCUUUUCUCAUUUUUUAUCUUUGAGAAAGACUUUAAAUAUAAGUAAGCACUUCACACCAACUGCACAUUUGGAUGUCAUUUUACCACUAGUCCUUAGAGUAAAAUGGCCUCUCUUUGCUUCUGAAGGUCUUCUAGGUCUAUGACUUGCUCAGCCAAGACUGCUGGUUGAAAUUGUAGACCCAGUCUGCCACUCGCUACAUUGGUAACUUGAUUUUUAACUCUUUAUUACCACCACUACAUUUUUAAUAAAUGAUCCUUUUUUGUUUGUUUCAUCAGAUUCUCAUUUGAACUGUUUCUAUUUGAUUUUUUUAAUUGCAUGUCUGUCUGGCUGUUUAACUUUUCAGUACAAUACUAAAGCCUUACUUUCCUAUAUGAAUUAUGAAACAUAUAUAUAUAUAUAUAUAUUGUGCUGCAUAAUUCGGUGACAUUAUUGAUCAAUAGAAUAAAUAAAUGUUUGUUAUGUUAUUGUAUAAGUAUUCACUGAACUAUAUUGAUGUAUACAAUAAGUCAUGUGAUCAGGGAAUGUUUAUACAUAUUUACCUCUGAGAGCUAAAUAUUUCCUCUGAGAGCUAAAUAUUUCUUAAUCUGUUUCAGCACUUGCUUAAUUUUUUUUCUUUUCAAUAAAAGCUGCAUUAACUAGAAUCAAAGAACAAAGCCAGCAAUAAAAUUUUUCUAAUGAUUAACCUUUUGGUUAACUGAAUCUUAGAAGUUCUCUGGAUACAUUGUUUUUAUUCAUACCUUUAUAGAAGUUCUCUGGAUACAUUGUUUUUAUUCAUACGUUUAUAUGACUGAAGAAGAGAAUUGAUCAAUACUUUCAUUAUUUAAAACCAACAAAAAAGUCUUUUGAGGAAUUAGCAAAGAACAAUGUUUCAUAUUGCAUUAAAUUUUAUAUCUUUUAAUUUGAAAUAUUUCUUAUGGCUCAUAUAUGAACACCUAGCAAACUUUAAUGUAGACAGCUGCUAUACUUUGGCCAGUGGCCCUUAGGCAUAACAAAUGUAUUUGAAAUGCGGUCUUGUGUUGGCUGUGAAAGUCAAAGGUUCAGAGCUCCAUAAAAAGUGAUAAGCAUUUUAAAUGGAACUCUCAUUAUUUGAAGUUUACAAUACCUAAACCAAACUCUUCAUUUUAAAUAUAUUAUGAUACUUGUGUCUUGGAAUUCUGUUAUAUAUAUAUUUAUGUUUACAUGAUGCUUUAUGCUUCGACAACUUUUGUUUUGACAACUUUUGUUUACAAAACAUUGCCAACUCUAAAUGUUAUUGUUUUGUGUUUAACUGUUCAGCAUACAUUUUAUUAAAUUAAAUAUCUGACUUUAUAGUGCGCUGAACAGAUCAUGCUAUUAGUACAUUGUCUAUAUUUUUUUUAUUUCAAAUGAAAAUUGUUGCUUCUGUUGCCCUUUUGUUGGCUGGUCAAAGAUUUCUAAUUAAAGGGAAAUGUAACUAUGUUUACAAACUGUUGAUUAAUACACUUUCAAUAGCACUAAUUAACUUUUCAUCUUAUACAGUCAUUUGUGUUUGUUUCAUUGCUAAAUCUGAUUUGUAUCAAAGUCUGGGUUUUAUUUGACACUUUUCCACUUUUCUGGGCUCACCAUUUUGCUCCAGAUAGAUUCCUACUCUGUUAGCAGCAGGUUUAAAAUACAGACCUAAUUAUUGAUGCUCCAGAUAGAUUCCUACUCUGUUAGCAGCAGGUUUAAAAUACAGACCUAAUUAUUGAUGCUCAAAUAGAUUCCUACUCUGUUAGCAGCAGGUUUAAAAUACAGACCUAAUUAUUGAUGCUCAAAUCUUUUUUGUUUUGGUGCUGCUUUUUUUUGUUUUCUAGCAUUGCUAAAUCUUAAUACUUGAGAACAAUCAUAACACUGAAACUUUUUUUGACAAAAAUAGAAUUGUGUUUACAUAGCAAAAUGUCAGGCAAGUGUUUUUAAACUCUGCAGCUUGUAUAUUUGUUUGAAAUUUGUAGACAUGCAUUUAAAACCUUUUGUCUCUACCAAAACACCAGGAAGAGAUUUCUAUUGCAAGUUUCCCAUUCCCCCCCUUAAAAUUAGUUGUAAAUGUUUUUUUCUUUCCUCAAGUUGUCAUACAAUCCUUCAGUUAAGGAAACUGUUUGGAGGAAAGGCAAAGAUGAAAUAAUGCACCAUUCUGUUACUGCUUCUAGCACUAACCAGUGUUGACAGGCUUUAUUAUAGCCUAGAACUCUUGAAGGGUCAUAGGUCAUAACACAAGUGGCAGGUUAUGGUCACAUUGAAACUGGUGCUGUUAAUAUUGUUUACUUUAUACCAACAAAAUAUAGUUUUGAUUUGUUCUGUACAGCCAUCAAUUUUUUUUUCCUAUUACAAUAAACAGAAUACUUCUACAGCUUACCCAA